AGGACGAGGAGAAGGAACCCAGGCUGGAGACACGCCCUUCCCUUCCCUCCUGGACUUGAUGGCCUUAAUGAGGAUGCGGCAGCGAGCGUUCUGAGCCUGAGGAAGUCCUGCGAGGCGAAGCGGAAUGAGGAGUUGGUCUUUGGUCAGUCUUCCAAAGGGGAAGUGCUGGUCACUACAAACUGGCGUCAGGAUGAAAGAAAAUGGAGAACAAGAGAACGUGUCAGUAUGGGGAGGUUGUGUUGGAAAAAUAGCAAAAAGUCAGCACUGCU